CCACCACAGCCCCACCUUUACUGCACACAGUUUAUAUUUAUGUGGUUAUCAGAAGGCACCGUGUUUCAUUCCAGCUGGGCAGGAACUCAGUUCACUGGUUGGUAAUGGCUACCAUAUGUGAUAAAAGGAAGCCAAAUAAAAUCAUAUAUGCAUCAGAUAAAUAGCUGUAGGGCCACGGAUUUCAGAGGAAUUGGAAGAGACACGAGACCUCCAGUGACCACAAUAUCAGAUUCAAGAUUGCAAAUUGCUUGUUCAGGAGCCCAUCAUGCUUUCAGAAGUCAGCAGGAAGAACAAGGAGCCACUAGAAAUGGAACAUAAUCAAUCCUUUUUGAUAACAGCUAUUUUAAAGAACGGUUGAGGUCAGCUGUAAAAUAUAACUGCAAUUGUACAGCUGAGCCUGUAAAAUUACCCUUUGCUAAUACAGUUAUGGCAGCUUACACUGAGCAGUCUGUGCCAUGGAGCUUAUGGAAACAUUACAUUUGCUUAAAAUUCCACUCUGUUUCCAGAGGAUGACACUCAGAAGGAUGUCUGGAGGGAGUGUCUAUAUGUACUGCACCGUUCUGAGUCACCAGGCAGCUCUGUGAUAUAAUUGUCUUUGUAACUCUAAUGGUGACCUGCUGAACAGAAGCUAGAACCA